UUCCCGCCAAUUCUUGCAGAAUCCUGCCGGAGCUGAGUAGCGCGCGCCAUGGAGGCGUUUGACCCAGCCGAUUUGCCCGAGCUGCUUAAGCUUUAUUACCGGAGGCUCUUUCCCUACGCCCAGUACUACCGCUGGCUCAACUAUGGCGGAGUGAUAAAGAAUUACUUCCAACACCGUGAAUUUUCAUUCACGUUGAAAGAUGACAUUUACAUUCGCUACCAAUCCUUCAACAACCAGAGUGAUCUGGAAAAGGAGAUGCAGAAAAUGAAUCCAUACAAGAUUGAUAUAGGAGCGGUAUAUUCCCACAGACCCAAUCAACAUAAUACAGUGAAGCUGGGAGCUUUCCAGGCUCAGGAAAAAGAACUGGUGUUUGACAUCGACAUGACAGACUAUGAUGAUGUGAGGAGAUGCUGUAGUUCUGCAGACAUAUGUUCUAAGUGCUGGACCCUCAUGACAAUGGCCAUACGCAUCAUUGACCGAGCAUUGAAGGAGGACUUUGGAUUUAAGCAUCGCCUCUGGGUAUAUUCUGGAAGAAGAGGUGUUCAUUGUUGGGUCUGUGAUGACUCGGUUAGAAAACUGUCCUCCGCAGUACGGUCUGGGAUAGUUGAAUAUUUGAGUCUUGUAAAGGGUGGUCAAGAUGUUAAAAAGAAAGUUCACCUAAGUGAAAAAAUUCACCCCUUUGUCAGAAAAUCUAUAAACAUAAUAAGUAAAUACUUUGAAGAAUAUGCCUUGGUUGAUCAAGAUAUUCUUGGAAGUAAAGAAAGCUGUGAUAAGAUUUUAGCUCUUAUUCCUGACACAAUGCAUGAUGGCCUUCAAGAAAUCUUCCAAAAGCCUCACAGUUCACUUCAGCGUUGGGAGCAUUUGAAGAAAAAGGCCAUAUAUCCGAAUGACAGAAGUGGACAGUUGCUUGUGUGGGAGAUCAUGCUCCAGUACUGUUUUCCACGGCUGGAUAUCAAUGUUAGCAAAGGAAUCAAUCAUUUGCUGAAGAGCCCUUUUAGUGUUCAUCCUAAAACAGGUCGAAUUUCAGUGCCUAUUGAUUUACAGAAAGUGGAUCAGUUUGAUCCGUUUACUGUUCCAACCAUAAGCUCCAUCUGCCAUGAAUUAGAUGCUAUUUCCACUAAUGAAGAAGAAAAAGAGAACAAAGCUGAAUCCGAUAACAAACAUAGAACCAGAGAUUAUAAGAAGACCAGUCUAGCCCCUUACGUAAAAGUUUUUGAAAAGUUUCUUGAAAACCUGGAUAAAUCCCGAAAAGGAGAACUUCUCAAGAAGAGUGAUUUACAAAAAGACUUCUGAAGAUAACAACUCCCCUCUAACUAAUGUGGAUAACUUCUAUCUUCAACCAAGAAUCAAACACUUGAAGAGUCAUGAAAUAAAUAUGGCAGAACCUUACUCGUCACCACCCCUGCUGGGAACAGACAGGCGGCCGCGGACGGGUCUCUAG